rnacentral:rRNA from 1 species
UACGUAGGUGGCAAGCGUUGUCCGGAUUUAUUGGGUUUAAAGGGUGCGUAGGCGGUUACGUAAGUCUGCUGUGAAAGUCGGAGGCUCAACCUUCGAAAGCCGGUGGAUACUGCGUGACUAGAGUACGGAAGAGGAGAGUGGAAUUCCUGGUGUAGCGGUGAAAUGCGCAGAUAUCAGGAGGAACACCAACGGCGAAGGCAGCUCUCUGGGACGUUACUGACGCUGAGACGCGAAAGCGUGGGGAGCAAACAGG